CAAUAGCGUAUAUUAAAGUUGUUGCGGUUAAAAAGCUCGUAGUUGGAUUUCUGCCGAGGACGACCGGUCCGCCCUCUGGGUGAGUAAUCUGGCUUGGCCUGGGCAUCUUCUUGGAGAACGUAGCUUGCACUUGACUGUGUGGUGCGGUAUUCCAGGACUUUUACUUUGAGGAAAUUAGAGUGUUUCAAGCAGGCAUACGCCUUGAAUACAUUAGCAUGGAAUAAUAAGAUAGGACCUCGGUUCUAUUUUUGUUUGGUUUCUAGAGCUAGAGGUAAUGAUUAAUAGGGAUAGUUGGGGGCAUUCGUAUUUAACUGUCAGUAGGUGAAAUUCUUGGAUUUGUUAAAGACGGACUACUGCGAAAGCUA
rnacentral:rRNA from 1 species